AUGUUCCCAGGAAGUACCAGUCAUUUACAAUUCAACCAAAAGUGGUGGGAAUUAAAUGUUACAAUUGACCCACAACAGAUAUGUGUAUUUAUUUUACCACAGUACCCUCUGAUAUGUGUAUUUAUACUACCACAGUACCCUCUGAUAUGUGUAUUUAUACUACCACAGUACCCUCUGAUAUGUGUAUUUAUACUACCACAGUACCCUCUGAUAUGUGUAUUUAUACUACCACAGUACCCUCUGAUAUGUGUAUUUAUACUACCACAGUACCCUCUGAUAUGUGUAUUUAUUUUACCACAGUACCCUCUGAUAUGUGUAUUUAUACUACCACAGUACCCUCUGAUAUGUGUAUUUAUACUACCACAGUACCCUCUGAUAUGUGUAUUUAUACUACCACAGUACCCUCUGAUAUGUGUAUUUAUACUACCACAGUACCCUCUGAUAUGUGUAUUUAUACUACCACAGUACCCUCUGAUAUGUGUAUUUAUACUACCACAGUACCCUCUGAUAUGUGUAUUUAUACUACCACAGUACCCUCUGAUAUGUGUAUUUAUACUACCACAGUACCCUCUGAUAUGUGUAUUUAUUUUACCACAGUACCCUCUGAUAUGUGUAUAUAUACUACCACAGUACCCUCUGAUGUGUAUUUAUACUACCACAGUACCCUCUGAUAUGUGUAUUUAUACUACCACAGUACCCUCUGAUGUGUAUUUAUACUACCACAGUACCCAACCAGGAGUCUCCUACAGAGCUCACAGUUCAUCACUGUCCUUUUCCUGGUGGGGAGAAGACCAGAAGAGGAUGAUAUCCUUCCUGUCUCCAAGUUCUGCCUCAAAAUGUGCUGGGGUGAGUUUUUCCAUAAUAAAUGAGAACCUUAGAUAUGGUAAUUUAGUAUUUCCUUCUCUCAUGAUCUAUCAAUGUCUCAAUGUUCACCCAAUGGCGUCCUUUUUAACUAAAUUAUUAUAUAUUCUGUGAUGAUAUCUGGGUGAAGAUGAGUCCUGUCUGAUAUAAUUAGAGGUCAAGACUGGACAAGGAGGUUGGAUAAACUCCUCUCUAUGAAGAUGAGUCCUGUCUGGUAUAAUUAGUGGUCAAGACUGGACAAGGAGGGUUGGAUAAACUCCUCUCUAUGAAGAUGAGUCCUGUCUGGUAUAAUUAGAGGUCAAGACUGGACAAGGAGGUUGGAUAAACUCCUCUCUAUGAAGAUGAGUCCUGUCUGGUAUAAUUAGUGGUCAAGACUGGACAAGGAGGGUUGGAUAAACUCCUCUCUAUGAAGAUGAGUCCUGUCUGGUAUAAUUAGAGGUCAAGACUGGACAAGGAGGGUUGGAUAAACUCCUCUCUAUGAAGAUGAGUCCUGUCUGGUAUAAUUAGAGGUCAAGACUGGACAAGGAGGGUUGGAUAAACUCCUCUCUAUGAAGAUGAGUCCUGUCUGGUAUAAUUAGAGGUCAAGACUGGACAAGGAGGGUUGGAUAAACUCCUCUCUAUGAAGAUGAGUCCAGUCUGGUAUAAUUAGAGGUCAAGACUGGACAAGGAGGGUUGGAUCAACUCCUCUCUAUGAAGAUGAGUCCUGUCUGGUAUAAUUAGAGGUCAAGGCUGGACAAGGAGGGUUGGAUAAACUCCUCUCUAUGAAGAUGAGUCCAGUCUGGUAUAAUUAGAGGUCAAGACUGGACAAGGAGGGUUGGAUCAACUCCUCUCUAUGAAGAUGAGUCCUGUCUGGUAUAAUUAGUGGUCCAGACUGGACAAGGAGGGUUGGAUAAACUCCUCUCUAUGAAGAUGAGUCCUGUCUGGUAUAAUUAGAGGUCCAGACUGGACAAGGAGGGUUGGAUCAACUCCUCUGUAUGUGGAACAGGUGUGACUAUUUAUCAUGUGUAACAAUCAAACCUCCCUAUUGGCUGUGUGUUCCACAUUCUAAAGUAGAACCAUCAUUUUACUUGCUGGAAUUUUGUCCAGAAAGGACCUCAUUGGACAGAAAGGGGAACUCCUCCCACACGCAUGUUGAACAGAUAUAAUGUUUCCCUGAAACAAAGGAUUCCUGUAGUUUAAUGAAAUAAGAAACUGAUUCAUAGUAUAUCAUACAUCAUACAAGCCAACGUUCAAUAGCAACACUGCUAUUGGUU
rnacentral:lncRNA from 1 species